GGGCAGGUGUCAGAGUGGUCGAAUGAGCACGAUUGGAAAUCGUGUGUACGUCAAAAGCGUACCGAGGGUUCGAAUCCCUCCCUGUCCG
rnacentral:tRNA from 2 species